AUUGCACAAUGGGGGAAACCCUGAUGCAGCCAUGCCGCGUGUGUGAAGAAGGCCUUGGGGUUGUAAAGCACUUUCAGUGAUGAGGAAAGGUUUGCGGUUAAUACCCGUAAGCUGUGACGUUAAUCACAGAAGAAGGACCGGCUAACUCCGUGCCAGCAGCCGCGGUAAUACGGAGGGUCCGAGCGUUAAUCGGAAUUACUGGGCGUAAAGCGCACGCAGGCCGUUUGUUUAAGCUAGAUGUGAAAGCCCCGGGCUUAACCUGGGAAUAGCAUUUACAACUGGCAGACUAUAAUCUUGGAUAGGGGAGUGGGAUUUCUGGUGUAUCGGUGGAAUGCGUUUCAUAUCAUAAAGAACAUCAAUGGCGAAGGCGAACUUCUUGGCCAAGACUGACCCUCAUUGUGCGAAAGUUUGGGUACCAACAGGAUUAGAUACCCUGGUAGUCCACCCUUAAACGCUGUCUACUAGCUGUGUGUGCCUUUAAGGCGUGCGUAGCGAAGCUAACGCGCUAAGUAGACCGCCUGGGGAGUACGGCCGCAAGGUUAAAACUCAAAUGAAUUGACGGGGGCCGCACAA
rnacentral:rRNA from 1 species